GCUGGCGGCGUGCCUAACACAUGCAAGUCGAGCGAAGGAUAUAUAGUGAAAUCUUCGGAUUGAUCUAUAUAAACUUAGCGGCGGAUGGGUGAGUAACGCGUGAGAAAUCUACCAUGCACUAGGGGAUAGCCUCGGGAAACCGGGAAUAAUACCCUAUGACACUUACAUUUCGCAUGAAAAGUAAGUUAAAGCGUUUAGCGGUGCUUGAUAAUCUCGCGUCCCAUUAGUUAGUUGGUGAGGUAAUAGCUCACCAAGACUACGAUGGGUAGCCGGCCUGAGAGGGUGACCGGCCACACUGGAACUGAGACACGGUCCAGACUCCUACGGGAGGCAGCAGUGGGGAAUAUUGCACAAUGGAGGAAACUCUGAUGCAGCGACGUCGCGUGAGCGAUGAAGGUCUUCGGAUCGUAAAGCUCUGUCCUAAGGGAAGAUAGUGACGGUACCUUAGGAGGAAGCCCCGGCUAACUACGUGCCAGCAGCCGCGGUAACACGUAGGGGGCGAGCGUUGUCCGGAAUUACUGGGUGUAAAGGGUGCGUAGGCGGCCUUGCAAGUCAGAUGUGAAAGAUCACGGCUUAACUGUGGUAAGCAUUUGAAACUGUAAGGCUUGAGUGCAGGCGAGGAGAGUGGAAUUCCUAGUGUAGCGGUGAAAUGCGUAGAUAUUAGGAAGAAAUUUAAGGGGAGAAGGGGGUUUUCUGGACUGCAAUUGACGUUGAGGCACGAAGGCGUGGGGAGCAAACAGGAUUAGAUACCCUGGUAGUCCACGCUGUAAACGAUGAGUGCUAGGUGUCGGGGGUCAUACCUCGGUGCCGCAGUUAACGCAUUAAGCACUCCACCUGGGGAGUACGGCCGCAAGGCUGAAACUCAAAGGAAUUGACGGGGACCCGCACAAGCAGCGGAGCAUGUGGUUUAAUUCGAUGCAACGCGAAGAACCUUACCAGGGCUUGACAUCCCUCGGAUCGGACUAGAGAUAGUCCUUUCCCUUCGGGGACUGAGGUGACAGGUGGUGCAUGGUUGUCGUCAGCUCGUGUCGUGAGAUGUUGGGUUAAGUCCCGCAACGAGCGCAACCCUUGCCUUUAGUUGCAAACAGUUUGGCUGUGCACUCUAAAGGGACUGCCGAUGAUAAAUCGGAGGAAGGUGAGGAUGACGUCAAAUCAUCAUGCCCUUUAUGUCCUGGGCUACACACGUGCUACAAUGGUCGGUACAACGGGUUGCCACCUCGCGAGAGGGAGCUAAUCCCACAAAGCCGAUCCCAGUUCGGAUUGUAGGCUGCAAUUCGCCUACAUGAAGCUGGAGUUGCUAGUAAUCGCGAAUCAGAAUGUCGCGGUGAAUACGUUCCCGGGUCUUGUACACACCGCCCGUCACACCACGGAAGUUGACAAUACCCGAAGCCAGUGAGCCAACCAUUUGGAGGCAGCUGUCGAAGGUAGGGUCAAUGACUGGGGUGAAG
rnacentral:rRNA from 1 species